UUUUUGAUUUUUUUUGU
rnacentral:sRNA from 1 species